rnacentral:rRNA from 1 species
CCUACGGGUGGCAGCAGUGGGGAAUAUUGCGCAAUGGGGGAAACCCUGACGCAGCAACGCCGCGUGAGUGAGGAAGUAUCUCGGUAUGUAAAGCUCUAUCAGCGGGGAAGAAAGAGGACGGUACCAGACUAAGAAGCCCCGGCUAACUACGUGCCAGCAGCCGCGGUAAUACGUAGGGGGCGAGCGUUAUCCGGAUUUACUGGGUGUAAAGGGAGCGUAGACGGCGUCGCAAGUCUGAAGUGAAAGCCCGUGGCUCAACCGCGGAACCGCAUUGGAAACUGCGAGGCUGGAGUGCUGGAGAGGUAGGCGGAAUUCCUGGUGUAGCGGUGAAAUGCGUAGAUAUCAGGAAGAACACCGGUGGCGAAGGCAGCUUACUGGACAGUGACUGACGUUGAGGCUCGAAAGCGUGGGGAGCAAACAGGAUUAGAUACCCCAGUAGUC